rnacentral:rRNA from 1 species
UACAGAGGUCUCAAGCGUUGUUCGGAUUCAUUGGGCGUAAAGGGUGCGUAGGCGGCGCGGUAAGUCGGGUGUGAAAUCUCGGAGCUUAACUCCGAAACUGCAUUCGAUACUGCCGUGCUUGAGGACUGGAGGGGAGACUGGAAUUUACGGUGUAGCGGUGAAAUGCGUAGAUAUCGUAAGGAAGACCAGUGGCGAAGGCGGGUCUCUGGACAGUUCCUGACGCUGAGGCACGAAAGCGUGGGGAGCGAACAGG